rnacentral:rRNA from 1 species
UGGGGAAUAUUGCACAAUGGGGGAAACCCUGAUGCAGCGACGCCGCGUGAGCGAAGAAGUAUUUCGGUAUGUAAAGCUCUAUCAGCAGGGAAGAAAAUGACGGUACCUGACUAAGAAGCCCCGGCUAACUACGUGCCAGCAGCCGCGGUAAUACGUAGGGGGCAAGCGUUAUCCGGAUUUACUGGGUGUAAAGGGAGCGUAGACGGACUGGCAAGUCUGAUGUGAAAGGCGGGGGCUCAACCCCUGGACUGCAUUGGAAACUGUUAGUCUUGAGUGCCGGAGAGGUAAGCGGAAUUCCUAGUGUAGCGGUGAAAUGCGUAGAUAUUAGGAGGAACACCAGUGGCGAAGGCGGCUUACUGGACGGUAACUGACGUUGAGGCUCGAAAGCGUGGGGAGCAAACAGGAUUAGAUACCCUGGUAGU